CAUCGUUUAAUGUAAAAAUAUUAGAUUUUACCUGCCCAAUGAUUAAUUAAAUGGCCGCGGUAUUUUGACCGUGCAAAGGUAGCAUAAUCAUUAGUUUCUUAAUUAGAAGCUGGAAUGAAUGGUUGGACGAGAAAAUUUCUGUCUCUUAAUAAGACUAUAUAAAUUUAUUUUUGAGUCAAAAAGCUUAAAUUUUUUUAAAAGACGAGAAGACCCUAUAGAGUUUAACUAAGUAUAAUUUUUUUACAUUGUUAGUUUUAUUUAAUGGAUGGGUUAAAUUAGUUUGAUUGGGGUGAUUGAAAAAUUUAAGUAACUUUUUUUUGUAAUAGAUUAUAAAUAUAUAUAAAUUUUUGAUCCAAUAGUUUUGAUUAAAAGAAUAAAUUACCUUAGGGAUAACAGCGUAAUUUUUAUGGAGAGUUCUUAUUGAUAUAAAAGUUUGCGACCUCGAUGUUGGAUUAAAAUGAAUUGUUGGUGGAGAAGCUAAUUAAUUGAGUCUGUUCGACUUUUAAAAUUUUACAUGAUCUGAGU
rnacentral:rRNA from 1 species